UACGUAGGGUGCAAGCGUUGCCCGGAUUUAUUGGGCGUAAAGAGCGUGUAGGCGGCCAGACAGGUCCGUUGUGAAAACUAGAGGCUUAACCUCUAGACGUCGAUGGAAACUGUCUGGCUAGAGUCCGGAAGAGGAGAAUGGAAUUCCUGGUGUAGCGGUGAAAUGCGCAGAUAUCAGGAAGAACACCCGUGGCUAAGGCGGUUCUCUAGUACGGUACUGACGCUGAGACGCGAAAGCGUGGGGAGCGAACAGG
rnacentral:rRNA from 1 species